rnacentral:lncRNA from 1 species
GCUACGAGUCACGGUGGCUCCGCGCUGGCGGCGGGUUCCCCCACAAGGUCUUGGGGAAAGGAGCAUGCGCUGGAAGCUGUGUGCUGUUGGUUUUGAGGAUCUUCAGUAAGCUGAAAGCGGAGAGUCAGGGGCCUUGUGUCCUACCAUGGUAUUUGCUAACGUUUAGAGAGUGCUUCCCCUUGCCGAGCACUGGGUAAGCGCUUCACAUGCGUCAUCUCAUUUGGAACAAGUCUCUUUUGUUCUAGCACCUAUGAAGUGGCAGAGACUGAUUUCUGUUUUAAAGCUGGAGACACCGAGUCUCUCCAGCUUAUUUAAAUAUCUUUCUCAAAAUGUCAUGCCACUAGUUCCUGAUUUCUGUAUUGCCAUCACUAUUUUAGCACUGUUUACUUCAUAUUUUUCUUUAGUUUAAAAAAAAUAGAAAUAGUGGGGCUCACUAUGUUGCCUAAGCUGG